rnacentral:rRNA from 1 species
UACGGGGGGGGGCAAGCGUUGUUCGGAAUUACUGGGCGUAAAGGGUUCGUAGGUGGCUUGUUAAGUCAGACGUGAAAUCCCCCGGCUCAACUGGGGAACUGCAAGGGAAACAGCAGGGCUUGAGUUCGGGAGAGGGAAGCGGAAUUCCGGGUGUAGCGGUGAAAUGCGUAGAUAUCCGGGAGGAACGACCGGUGGCGAAGGCGGCUUCCUGGACCGAUACUAGACGUCGAGGCGCGAAAGCUAGGGGGAGCAAAACGGGG